AUGGAACAUCAGUUAACGACUGGUGUCUCUGUUUAUUAAGAAAUGGAAUAUUGUUUUACAGUUUUUUGUCAUUAGGUUUUUUUUCUACAGCUCAAGCACGUAUGAAAAAUUUGGUGAAGUAAAGAGCAACAACACUGUAUAUGCUGACAAAACUAUGAAUAAUGCAGCCGGUAAGAAAUGAAAACAACAUGUUAUAUAAAUUACAUGCUUCCCAAGCAUUUUUCUGGGAUUUUCGUCAGAAACACCCAAAAGCUUUAUAAUUGAAAAGGCUAGGGUUUAUAAGAACCGAAACAAUUGAAGAGCUUUAUGACAAAAAAUAACCUAAUAAAAUAACCAAAUCCUUCUAAUGCCAUCUUUGCCUGUGGGAGUGGAAACCGCAGUUUCUUUAUAACUUCAAAAUUUAUAAACGAAUAAUUUUUAGUAAGGAUAAAUCAUGUCAGUACCAAAGUACUGACUACUGAGCUGAUGAUACCCUCGGAUACUGUUAGUCCAUCAGAAGAGGUACCGACCCAGUGAUGUAAAAAAUGAAAAUAACACGUUAUAUAAAUUUUAUGCGUCCGAACCGCUUUUCUGGAUUUACCUUCAUCAGGAACGCUCAAAGCCAAAUAUUUGAAAGCCUAGGAUUUAAGACUACGGGUGUCGUUUUGAAAUAUGAUAAUUUUAAAGAAUGAUCAUAUUUUCAUAAAAUUUACACUAGUUUUGGCACAGAGUUGGCGUCUUACAUUAACACUUUUCUUUGAAUAAAACCGACACAAAUACCUAAUGCAUUAAGAUAGGCAAUAAUACUCAGUAAUCUAGCAUACACACAAGAAAAAAAGCAAUAAAGUGAUAGUGAUAAUAUCCAUAUUUUAGAAAUAAGUUAAAUUGAAACAUUUUGCAAUGAUCAAAAUUAUUCACACUAACCGACUUUUAUUUUAUUCAACUAAAUUUGCUUUAAAAACAAAGUUAUAUCUUAUGGAGGACAUCCGUACAACUUUAAUUUAUUGCAUUUUACAAAAAGGCAGUUUUUAAAAAGUAGAUAUUAUUACGAACGUUUAUUUCAGAAUUGCAUAGGAAAGACAUGGACACGGAUGUAUAUGUCAACACAGAAUUAAAACCGUCAACGAAAACCUAAUUCUAUGGAGUUUUCUGGUUUACUUAUUUAAAAGAAAAUGUACAACUGAUAGAGCUCAGUACAAAUUUAAACAGUCCUGUGGAAAACAGUGCUUUAUUGACAAAAACUGUAUUAACAGAGGGAUAUUAUAAGUACUUCGAAUG
rnacentral:lncRNA from 1 species